rnacentral:rRNA from 1 species
GAUGAACGCUGGCGGCGUGCCUAAUACAUGCAAGUCGAGCGAACAGACGAGGAGCUUGCUCCUCUGACGUUAGCGGCGGACGGGUGAGUAACACGUGGAUAACCUACCUAUAAGACUGGGAUAACUUCGGGAAACCGGGUCUAAUACCGGAUAAUAUAUUGCACCGCAUGGUUCAAUAGUGAAAUACGGUUUUGCUGUCACUUAUAGAUGGAUCCGCGCCGCAUUAGCUAGUUGGUAAGGUAACGGCUUACCAAGGCAACGAUGCUUAGCCGACCUGAGAGGGUGAUCGGCCACACUGGAACUGAGACACGGCCCAGACUCCUACGGGAAGAAGCAGUAGGGAAUCUUCCGCAAUGGGGGAAAGCCUGACGGAGCAACGCCGCGUGAGUGAUGAAGGUCUUCGGAUCGUAAAGCUCUGUUAUUAGGGAAGAACAAAUGUGUAAGUAACUAUGCACGUCUUGACGGUACCUAAUCAAAAAGCCACGGCUAACUACGUG